rnacentral:rRNA from 1 species
UACGGAGGGUGCAAACGUUGCUCGGAAUCAUUGGGCGUAAAGCGCACGUAGGCGGUCUGACAAGUCGGGUGUGAAAGCCCUCGGCUUAACCGAGGAAGUGCAUUCGAUACUACUCAGCUCGAGUAUGGGAGAGGGUAGUGGAAUUCCCGGUGUAGCGGUGAAAUGCGUAGAUAUCGGGAGGAACAUCAGUGGCGAAGGCAGCUCGCUGGGACGUUACUGACGCUGAGACGCGAAAGCGUGGGGAGCAAACAGG